GUAGGGAGCAAGCGUUGUCCGGAAUCAUUGGGCGUAAAGCGCGCGUAGGCGGCCCCGUAAGUCCGCUGUGAAAGUCAAAGGCUCAACCUUUGAAAGCCGGUGGAUACUGUGGGGCUAGAGUACGGAAGAGGCGAGUGGAAUUCCUGGUGUAGCGGUGGAAUGCGCAGAUAUCAGGAGGAACACCAAUAGCGAAGGCAGCUCGCUGGGACGUUACUGACGCUGAGGCGCGAAAGCGUGGGGAGCGAACAGGAUUAGAUACCCUGGUAGUCCACGCCGUAAACGAUGGGUACUAGGUGUGGGAGGUGUCGACUCCUCCCGUGCCGUCGCUAACGCACUAAGUACCCCGCCUGGGGAGUACGGCCGCAAGGCUAAA
rnacentral:rRNA from 1 species